UUGUUUUCUUGAGAGCAAGAAGGCAAAGCGGAAGUGAAGAAGUAAGAAUGGACAUCGUGAAAACAUCAGUGGGUCGUUUAUUACAAGAUGAAGAAAAUCCAGCAGAACUUUGUGGAGCACUGAGGGCAUAGCAAAAUAAUGGAUCGUCAGUACCAGAUGGAUCCUGUUCUGACUUCCUUGUCAGUACCAACUGGGGUACAAAUCAUCUCACUUGACAUCAAACCUGUAACUGUUAGGUGUGAAGUUAAGCUGGC